rnacentral:rRNA from 1 species
UACGUAGGGUGCAAGCGUUGUCCGGAAUUAUUGGGAGUAAAGAGCUUGUAGGCGGUUUGUCGCGUCUGCUGUGAAAUUUCGGGGCUCAACCCCGAACUUGCAGUGGGUACGGGCAGACUAGAGUGUGGUAGGGGAGACUGGAAUUCCUGGUGUAGCGGUGAAAUGCGCAGAUAUCAGGAGGAACACCGAUGGCGAAGGCAGGUCUCUGGGCCAUAACUGACGCUGAGAAGCGAAAGCAUGGGGAGCGAACAGG